rnacentral:rRNA from 1 species
UACGGGGGGGGCAAGCGUUGUUCGGAAUUACUGGGCGUAAAGGGCUCGUAGGCGGCCAACUAAGUCGGAUGUGAAAUCCCCAGGCUUAACCUGGGAACUGCAUCCGAUACUGGAUGGCUUGAAUCCGGGAGAGGGAUGCAGAAUUCCCGGUGUAGCGGUGAAAUGUGUAGAGAUCGGGAGGAACACCGGUGGCGAAGGCGGGUCUCUGGGCAAUUCCUGACGCUGAGGCGCGAAAGCGUGGGGAGCAAACGGG